GAUGAACGCUGGCGGCGUGCCUAAUACAUGCAAGUCGAGCGAACAGACGAGGAGCUUGCUCCUCUGACGUUAGCGGCGGACGGGUGAGUAACACGUGGAUAACCUACCUAUAAGACUGGGAUAACUUCGGGAAACCGGAGCUAAUACCGGAUAAUAUAUUGAGCCGCAUGGUUCAAUAGUGAAAGACGGUUUUGCUGUCACUUAUAGAUGGAUCCGCGCCGCAUUAGCUAGUUGGUAAGGUAACGGCUUACCAAGGCGACGAUGCGUAGCCGACCUGAGAGGGUGAUCGGCCACACUGGAACUGAGACACGGUCCAGACUCCUACGGGAGGCAGCAGUAGGGAAUCUUCCGCAAUGGGCGAAAGCCUGACGGAGCAACGCCGCGUGAGUGAUGAAGGUCUUCGGAUCGUAAAACUCUGUUAUUAGGGAAGAACAAAUGUGUAAGUAACUAUGCACGUCGUGACGGUACCUAAUCAGAAAGCCACGGCUAACUACGUG
rnacentral:rRNA from 1 species